rfam:Burkholderiales bacterium RIFCSPHIGHO2_01_FTLL_63_240 rifcsphigho2_01_scaffold_3, whole genome shotgun sequence.
CCUCUUCGAUCUGCUGCGGGCAGAUGAAGUGGAUGUGGGUGUCGAUGCCGCCGGCCGUGACGAUCAUGCCUUCGGCGGCGACGAUCUCGGUGCCCGGGCCGAUGACGAUGUCCACGCCAGGCUGCACGUCGGGGUUGCCGGCCUUGCCGAUCUUGAAGAUGCGACCAGCCUUGAUGCCGAUGUCGGCCUUGACGAUGCCCCAGUGGUCAACGAUCAGGGCGUUGGUGAGCACGCAGUCGCAGGCGUCCAUCGGGCCGGGCCCGUUGGGGCGCUGGCUCUGGCCCAUGCCGUCGCGGAUG